GAUGAACGCUGGCGGCGUGCCUAAUACAUGCAAGUCGAGCGAACAGACGAGGAGCUUGCUCCUCUGACGUUAGCGGCGGACGGGUGAGUAACACGUGAAUAACCUACCUAUAAGACUGGGAUAACUUCGGGAAACCGGAGCUAAUACCGGAUAAUAUAUUGGACCGCAUGGUUCAAUAGUGAAAGACGGUUUUGCUGUCACUUAUAGAUGGAUCCGCGCCGCAUUAGCUAGUUGGUAAGGUAACGGCUUACCAAGGCAACGAUGCGUAGCCGACCUGAGAGGGUGAUCGGCCACACUGGAACUGAGACACGGUCCAGACUCCUACGGGAGGCAGCAGUAGGGAAUCUUCCGCAAUGGGCGAAAGCCUGACGGAGCAACGCCGCGUGAGUGAUGAAGGUCUUCGGAUCGUAAAACUCUGUUAUUAGGGAAGAACAAAUGUGUAAGUAACUAUGCACGUCUUGACGGUACCUAAUCAGAAAGCCACGGCUAACUACGUG
rnacentral:rRNA from 1 species